rnacentral:lncRNA from 1 species
CUCCAAGGAGCACAUCAAUGGCGAGAGCGUUGCCCGCCAGAACAGCGCUUGCAGCGGUGGCUGCCACAGCCACACCGACCUCCUUGAGAGAUGCACGGGGUGACACGGCCAUCGCAACCGGCGCCUUCGACCCCGCGGCAGCGCUGCUGCCGACCCGUGCAGCGGCUGUGCCGGCCUUCAGGCCGGUGAAGGAGGGGAUGGUGACUGCUGCUGCGGUCAAGCUGGCCAUCGUCUAGCUUCUCUCUCUUUGAUACCUGACUCUGGUGGGAUUUGAUACCGCUGCAAUAGUUCUGAGGCUACUGCAAGGGGAGGUUGACAGGAAUUCAGUAAUGU